UACGUAGGGUGCAAGCGUUGUCCGGAAUCAUUGGGCGUAAAGAGCUCGUAGGCGGUCUGUCGCGUCUGCUGUGAAAACUCAGGGCUUAACCCUGAGCUUGCAGUGGGUACGGGCAGACUAGAGUGCGGUAGGGGAGACUGGAAUUCCUGGUGUAGCGGUGAAAUGCGCAGAUAUCAGGAGGAACACCGGUGGCGAAGGCGGGUCUCUGGGCCGUAACUGACGCUGAGGAGCGAAAGCAUGGGGAGCGAACAGG
rnacentral:rRNA from 1 species